rnacentral:lncRNA from 1 species
GUUUCUAGACGAAGGGCAUAUACCAGUUAAACUCCGCCAUUUUGCCUCUCAGUGUUCAAGCUUGAGCCCACGCAUCCAACUCCUGAGAUCUUACUGGGAAGCUGCUGAUCAUCAGUUUCAGGUAAGACGGGUUGAAGAUCCGAGAGGCUGAGUCACUUCCACAAAGUAACACAGCUGAUUUUAAAUGCCUGCAUUCAGCAUCCCUGCAGCAGGCUCCAGGUGGAAUUCUAAUGGGACCAGCCUCCAGUCCCUGGACCUUAGCCGUGGAAGGAGAGAAGAGGACAUCUGCACCUCCUCUCAGAGAAAGCCUGAUGCCUACUAAAGGACUUGGGUGGUGGACGCAGUGACCCUCAGUCUGGAGCUUGUUCACUGAACAUUGGAGACUAUCAUUUGCGCAGAUGGUCUUGGGCCUCUAUGAGCAGCAGGCUGCACCCCACAGUGACCUCCUCAUUCUACUCUGAGGCAUCUUCAUGAAAGCAGAUGUCCAUUGAAAAGCACCCAAGUGCAGUCUCAGCUGAUGAACUUCAGAGGCGAUUGAGACAAAGGCUCUCGGUCCCCUCUGCCCUUGGAUGGUGCCUCUGGUAUGCACUUGGCCUCUGUGUCUUUAUUUAGACUGGUCACUUCACAACCCAUCAUGUCACCCCACCCCUAACCGUGCCCACUCUGGGUCCUCCCCUCAACUGCCUGACUUCCCACUUUGAGCUCAGCAAAGGCA